rnacentral:rRNA from 1 species
AUUGAACGCUGGCGGCAUGCCUAACACAUGCAAGUCGAACGAGUGGCGGACGGGUGAGUAAUGUCUGGGAAACUGCCCGGUGGCGGGGGAUAACUACUGGAAACGGUAGCUAAUACCGCAUACUAUCGGAUGUGCCCAUAUGGGAUUAGCUAGUUGGUGGGGUAAAGGCUCACCAAGGCAACGAUCCCUAGCUGGUCUGAGAGGAUGACCAGCCACACUGGGACUGAGACACGGUCCAGACUCCUACGGGAGGCAGCAGUGGGGAAUAUUGGACAAUGGGCGCAACCCUGAUGCAGCCAUGCCGCGUGUAUGAAGAAGGCCUUCGGGUUGUAAAGUACUUUCGGCGGGGAGGCGUUACCUGCAGAAGAAGCACCGGCUAACUCCGUGCCAGCAGCCGCGGUAAUUC